UUUUGACGUAAUUUCUCUUGAUGUAGCUAGCAGGUGGCAGAGGUGUAUUUAAAAGUCAGCAGCAUUGUGACAGCGAUUAGAAUAUCCUCCGUCUGCCAGUCUUCUUGAUUCUUAGAUUCUAUGGAGCUCAAAUAGACAACAAAGCUUGUGGAACUAAUUAAGUGUUAGCAUAAAUAUCUAACCUUUAUCAUGUUGAGACUCCUUAAUAAUUAUUACUCCCUGUUUUUAUAUUUUUAUUUUAUAAAGUAGAAAAAUAUUUUUGUUUUAUUUUUAUGCCACCACAGUGAAUGUACUUAUGGGUUUUAUGCCACUCGUAUCCUCACAUGGGGCUUACUAUUUUUCACAUUUUUACUUUCUGUUUAGAACUUAAUUAACUAAGUGAACUACCUGAAAUAAUUGAAAGGGAAAGGAUAACUACCAAGUUUACCUCUUGGCAAGGCGUUCGGUGUUUUUAAGUCCUCCGAACGGGACUCUCCUCCUUCUCAAUUAUCCUGAGGUUCGUUGGGUGGCGUAGUCGGUACUUCCGGUAGCGCCUCCUCUUCAUGUAUAGUUAUCUUCCUUUUCCACACCUGACUUGGUGCUUCGGUCUCCUCUAGAUAAUUCUGUUUAAACUCAACGUCUUCUGACCUUACAACUUUUCCUUCGUAGUCUGCCCAUCCGUCUUUGAUGAUUUGCCUCCUCUGGUUGCGGUUGCGUCGUCUUCUUCUUGUCCUGACCUGCUUAGAAUCUUCAACUAUAUAGUUAGAAUCAUUAAAGUAAUGGCGUACCUUCUCAGAGGGGAAAUACACGUGGUCUUCUCCGGUUCCAAUGUAGAUGAUAACUUGGAUAGUGUUGAGGAAUGGUCUUCCAAGGAUGAUGGGUGGAUCGUACUCGUCUUCUCCCAAAUCAAUGUUCUGAAAAUCAUCUGGAGCUAAAUAUAUAUUGGUUGUAGGGGCAUGGUUCCAUGCAGGAGCAGAUAAGUGACUGCGGCCAUUAUGUUGACGUUAAAUCCGGUGUCGUAGAGUGUUUUCUAAAAAGAGUAUCUAUUGGUUGU
rnacentral:lncRNA from 1 species